rnacentral:misc_RNA from 1 species
CACUAUUGCAUCUUGCUGACAGGACCC